rnacentral:rRNA from 1 species
UAGGGAAUCUUCGGCAAUGGACGAAAGUCUGACCGAGCAACGCCGCGUGAGUGAAGAAGGUUUUCGGAUCGUAAAACUCUGUUGGUAGAGAAGAACGUUGGUGAGAGUGGAAAGCUCAUCAAGUGACGGUAACUACCAGAAAGGACGGCUAACUACGUGCCAA